rnacentral:ncRNA from 2 species
CGGCGUCAUGCAGGAGUUGAU